CGUGCCCCAACCCGGCCGCCUGCAGCCCCGCAGGGUUUUGCGGUAGGUCCUACAAUAAACACGAGGCUGUUUGCAGCCCGACACGUCCCGGCUCGCGGCUCCUCUUGCAAACGGUGCACGAGGACGGCGUGCCAAGGCCUGGCCAUGCGCCCCGGCAUGUCGGGACACGGCUUGGGGUCGAGGCCUGGGGCCCUGCUUUUGGCCUUGGGAGGCUGCCGGCCUCCCCCGCCUCAGUUUCCCUCUGGUGGGGACAGAGGUGGCUACGUCGUGGGGGGACCCGUGGGUGGCCGUGGAGCUCUUGGUGGUUUCCCAGAAGGUGGCGGCCUCAGCCCAAAAAUCCGCUCCCUGAAGGCUUUGGGGUGCCACCGGGACGGGCCUCAUGCAUGCGCUGAGUGUGUGGGUGCUCAGCCCCCCCGGCUGGGGCAGGGGAUGGGGGCAGCAGCAUGGCCCUGUCCCCGCUGUCCCGUGGGAAGCCGUGUGGGACAGCUAACGGGGGACAGCGCGGCCGAGAGCUCGUUAGCCCUGCGCACAGAAAGCCGCACGAUGGGGAACUCCUUGCUGCGAGCACAAAACCAGGCUCAGAGUGUGGGUGGGAAAAAAAAAAUACAAACCCUGCGAGGGGCUGCUAAACACGAGAGGACAAGGCUGCAGCCAGGGGCUGAGUGCCCAGGGUGCUGUGCUCACGGCUGUGCAAAAUUGAACGUUUGCACACCUGUAAGGCUGCACGCCUGCAUGCACACAAAUUUGCAGGCUGACAUCCUUGCACCAUCAUGCGCUUGGAUGCUUGCACAACUGGGAGGUUGCAUGACACGGUGUGCUCGUGUGCUUGCACAAUCGUGUGUGCACAUGCCGCGUGUGCACAUGCCGGACCAAUUGCACGCUUGCCCUCUUGCACAAGCGCAAGCAAUGCCUGGCUGGCUGCAAAACCACUCUGCACAGCCUUCCUUGCACGGCUGCAUCCCUGCACCCCUGUGCAACGGCUGCUUGCACACGCGGGUGCUGGAACAGCUGCACGCCCACGCACUCACAGCGCUGCGCGCUUGCACACUCGUUUAUUUUAAUUCCCAGUUCCCCCGCUAAUUCCCAGUCCCCCCCCUAAUUUCGAGUUCCCCCCCCCGCUCCCCAUCCCCCCCCCCCCCCCGGGUUCCCAGUUCCCCCCCCAGUCCCCAGUUCUCCCUGUCCCCAUCCCUGCGCUGGCAGCACCCCGCUUUGCAGCGUUCUCCCCGGAGGGUGCUCG
rnacentral:lncRNA from 1 species